rnacentral:rRNA from 1 species
GAGUUUUGAUCAUGGCUCAGAUUGAACGCUGGCGGCAUGCCUUACACAUGCAAGUCGAACGGCAGCAUGAUCUAGCUUGCUAGAUUGAUGGCGAGUGGCGAACGGGUGAGUAAUACAUCGGAACGUGCCCUGUAGUGGGGAUAACUAGUCGAAAGAUUAGCUAAUACCGCAUACGACCUGAGGGUGAAAGUGGGGGACCGCAAGGCCUCAUGCUAUAGGAGCGGCCGAUGUCUGAUUAGCUAGUUGGUGGGUAAAGGCCCACCAAGGCGACGAUCAGUAGCUGGUCUGAGAGGACGGUCAGCCACACUGGGACUGAGACACGGCCCAGACUCCUACGGGAGGCAGCAGUGGGGAAUUUUGGACAAUGGGCGAAAGCCUGAUCCAGCAAUGCCGCGUGUGUG